UUUAUUAAAACUAAAAACAAAAAUGAUGUCAUUGCAAUGUUGCAGAUUUAGACUUAACUUUAACAAAAAUUGGUCUCCAAUGGCGUGUCAUCACUAAGUUACCAUUGUCGCAAUUUAAGAUAUACUCCUGUGAAUAAUAGCACUGUAAGCGUUGUAUUUCAAUUGCUAAGUUAUUAUCAACCAGGAAAAUUUAUUAAAUCUUGGCCCACAAUUUGUACCAUCAAAAAAUCAAAUUUUAAUCAUGGACAUUAUAGUAUCAACUGAAGAAUGUGCUUUAAAAUUGUAGGAAAAUGUUAAUAUUGAAAAAGCUGAAUUUUUGCGACAAAAUAUUCAGAAUCAGCAAUAAAAAAAAUCAAAGAUCAACUUGGUAACUGCACUAUUUCUGCUGUCGAUCCUACACAAAAUUUUCUUUGUUUAAUUCAACAAACUCUCAGUAAAUUAAAAAAGGAAAAAAAAAUUGAUAAAAAAACUUAUGAUAAAAUAUAUCCUUCUGACGCUGUUCCACCUAGAUUAUAUGGAUGCAUUAAAGCACAUAAAAGUGAUAAAGGUUAGUAAUGCGAACUAUAGUUUUAACUAUUGGUAAACCAGCUCAUAAACUUUUGCAACAUCUUUUUGAAAUAAUACAACCUACAUUUACUACAAAAAAGUUCUUUUUCAUUAAUAUUUGAGGCUAAAGAAUGAUUUAUAGAUAAAAAUGAAAUUCAAGUUUCGUUUGAUAUUAUUAACUUAUAUCCAUUGAUUCCACUAGAUAAAGCAACAAUUUCUAUAAUUGAUAUUCUAAGCAAAGAUAAAGAUAAUCUUAAGAUGCAAAGUAAGUUGUCAUUAGUAGAUAUUCACAAGCUUAUUGAACUUUGUGUAAAUAAAUGUUAUUUUUUAUGGGACAAAAUACAUAUCUUAAAAAAUUCUUGUCUGAUUGGUUAGUCCAUUAUGUUUAUUAUCAACAAAUCGCGACAAUGGUAACUUAGUGAUGACACGCCAUUGGAGACCACUUUUUGUUAAACUUAGGUCUAAAUCUGCAACAUUGGAAUGACGUCAUUUUUGAUUUUAGUUUUUAUGAAUUUUGUAUAAUAGUUUUUUCAAUUUGAUAAUGGUUUAUACUAUAUAAGCCAAAAUAUCGCCAUAUAAUAAUAAAGAUAAUCUAUAGCCGAA